rnacentral:rRNA from 1 species
AAUCAACGCUGGCGGCGUGCCUAACACAUGCAAGUCGAACGCGAAAGCCCCUUCGGGGGGUAAGUAGAGUGGCGUCCGGGUGAGUAACACGUAGGUAAUCUACCUUCGGGUGGGGAAUAACUCGCCGAAAGGCGAGCUAAUACCGCAUAAUGCAGCGGCACCUAAUGGUGAUUAGUUGUUAAAGCGGGGGAUCGUAAGACCUCGCGCCUGAAGAGGAGCCUGCGGCAGAUUAGCUAGUUGGNGAGGUAAUGGCUCACCAAGGCUUCGAUCUGUAGCUGGUCUGAGAGGACGGCCAGCCACACUGGCACUGACAUACGGGCCAGACUCCUACGGGAGGCAGCAGUGGG